AAAAAAAUUGAUAAUUACCCAAAAAUCAGGCCAAAAGUCUAGGCCGAAUGUUGCUAGUAUGAGAAUUAAUUCAUCUAAUUCAGAUCAAGUUUUGGAGGCUUGUGGGAACCACCAAGUUAACUUAGAUUAAAGCAAAAUCGAUGGUCUUGCUGAUGUCGUCGGUGUGGCUAUAGCGGUGAACUUUGAUUUUGUUUUACUUGAUGGUUUACAUUCGAAAACUACUUUUUAUUUUAAUCCUACUUUUGAGGGACCGGUGGAGUUGCCGUUUUGGUGUUGGAAGGCGAUCUUGAUCUUGGGAAGCACAUGACAGUCACUUUCAAGGAAAAUAAAAUCCAAAAUCCAGUAAACAGACGGAUGGGGAUUUUGAGUUGGGUUCUGGUAGGGAUUUUUCAUGGCCUUUUGGAUGGGUUUCUGGGAAGAAAGCUAGGGGUGGCCGGAGUGGAAGAAAGCUAAACAAAAUAAUUCAUUGUUAGGGAAGUUGUUUUAAAUCAUCCGACAGCUAGCGAGUUCCUUUGCUUGAUUCUAUGAAUACCAUGGCUGAACUUAUCACUCUCAGCUUGAUGUGGAUGUUGGUAAUUGCGAUUCAAUCAAGGUCGAAUUGGUUUGGAGUCUCCUAGGCAGUGAGGUUUUUCCUUAUUUUCUCUUUUAUUAUGAAUUUAAAUCUAACCAUAUUUUCAUGGAACUGCCAAGGAUGCACUAGUGCUAAAUUUCCCCAAAUUUUUUGGGAGUAUAACCUAGAGUAUGGACCGAAUAUUGUGUGUCUUAUGGAGCCUAAAGUAAGUGGUAAAAGAGCUGAUAAUAUCAUUGCUAAUUAGGCUUCAAUUGUUAUUACCGUGUUGAAGUUAUUGGCUUCUAAGGGCAUGUUUGGGUUGGUUGGAAAGAUUUAGUCAAGAUUGAGAUCAUUCGAAAUCAUCUUCAAUUCAUACUUCUUCGAGUUCUUGGUAGCGUUUCCUCUAAAUCCAUUUUUAUUUCCUUUAUGUAUGGCAAUUCAAAUAGACGGAAGCGAAGGAUCCUUUGGGAUGAGUAGAAGUUUUCCAUGCCUUAGAAGACAUCUCCAUGGAUGAUUUUAAUGUUAUUCUUUCACCUAAUGAUAAGAGAAGUAGUUGUUCUGUUGGGAGGAGGUGUUCUUUUUUUGGUGACUUUGUCGAAUUAACUGAGCUAAAAGAUCUAGAUUUCAAAGAUCCAUCAUUUACCUGGCAAAGAGGUGGGAUGUUUGAAAGAUUAGAUCGGGCACUAGCUAAUGAUGCCUGGGUGACAGCCUUCUCAAAUUGUCUAAUUUCUCAUCUCUCGAGGAUAAAAUUUGAUUACAGGCUUCUUUUCCUAUCUAUGGGGCUGAAUUCAACUAUAUUAGAGGCAGACCCUCUCGUUUUUUAGUUGGAUGGACGAAACAUUCUAAUUUUACUACUUUUGUUAAAGACAAGUGGAAUUAUUCGGGUAAUAUGGCUGAAUCUUUAUCUUAAUUUACCUUGUGUGUUAAGGAGUAGAAUACGACUGUUUAUGGAUAUAUUGGCACCCAUAAAAAGAAAUUAAUAAAAUCAUUUGCUAAUGUUCAAAGUGUAACGCCCUUGUUAGAGUUAUGUGACCCAAAUUCUAAGAGAUUGCUUGCAAGUCAAGUUAAACAAAAUAUAUUUUCUUUCUAGAAGAUUUAGUAUUUAUUAGUAUAAUAUAUUUAGCAUUUAUUAGCAUAGUUUAUUUGACUUACUAAUUUAGCCUAUAAAUAGGUUCUUUUACAACCUUAGAAAAUAUACCCAUUAGAGAUUAGAACUCAUAACACAUUUAGAGAAUUUUGUGUUUACGUUUUGAGGGUUCUUUGUUUUCGGGUUUUUCAGGUUUAGUUUUUUUAUCUUUAUCUUUUGUACUCUUUGUUCUUUUGUCAUUAUAGUAAAAUUAUCUUUACCCGUGGUUUUUUAUCCUCUUUGGAGGGGUUUUUCCACGUUAAAUUUGUGUAUUCAAUUUAUUUCGCUAUUUUUUUACUUGUUGCUUAAUCGGGUCGAUCCUAACAAGUGGUAUCAUAGUUAGUUUAAUUUUCAUAGAUCAACCCAUUCAGAGAUGACAACAACAAGGUUUGAAAUUGAGAAGUUCAAUGGUAAGACAAAUUUCAAUAUGUGGCAAGUUUGGAUGAUGGCAAUUCUAGUUCAAACCGGAUUGAAAAAGGUUGUUAUCGCGAAAAAGCUUGAGAAUCUAAAUUAAUCAGAAUGGGAAGAGCUUGAUGCAAAGGCCUUGUCUGCAAUCCAGUUUUGCCUCGCGAAUACGGUAUUGCAGGAGGUAUUGAUGGAGAAGGCCUCAUCCGCCUUGUGGAAAAGGUUAGAAACUCUUUAUGCGACUAAGUCUCUGGCUAAUCGUUUAGUGUUGAAACAACGUCUAUUUACGUUUCGCAUGAAUGAAUGUGAGCUUCUUAGAGAUCACAUCAGUCAAUUCAUUACUCUUUUAAAUGAUUUAAAGAACGUUGAGGUUCAUAUUAAUGAUGAAGAUCAGACUAUGCUAUUAUUGUACUCUUUACCCCCUUCAUACAAGUCUUUCAGGGAGACCUUAAUUUAUGGCAGAGACAAACUCUCGUUCAAAGAUGUGAAUGGUCAUUUGUUAAGUAGAGACAAACUCGACAAUGAGUUUGGUUUGGAUAGCAAGGCAGAUAGGCAAGCUUCCAUUUUGGUAGCAUCAAAGAAACGAGACAAAUGUGUUGCUAUUGUAACAAGUUAGGUCACGUCAAAGCAGAUUGUUAUAAACUGCGAAAUAAAAGAGCUCUUGAGAGUAACGAGAAAGAUGUAGCUGAUGCUAAUUUGGCCGAUGAAAGUGGUGAUGAUUUCUUGUUAGUGUCAACGAGUGAUAACUCCAAGCUCACGUCUGAGUGGAUCCUAGAUUCGGGAUGUGCUUUCCACAUAUGUCCCAAUAGAGAAUGGUUCUCUACAUACAGUUCGGUUGAAGGUGGAGUAGUGCGCAUGGGAAACAAUUCAUCUAGUAAGGUAAUUGAUAUUGGUACUGUUAAAAUUAAGAUUCAUGAUGGGACGAUUAGGACACUCUCAGACGUCAGGUAUGUACCUGAUUUACAAAAGAAUCUCAUCUCCUUGAGUAUUUUAGACUUGAAAGGAUGCAGAAUCAACAUCGAGUCGAGUGACAUAAAAGUAUCUCGUAGAGAUCUCCUUUUGUUAAAAGGUAAAAAAAUCAACAGUCUUUAUAUUCUGGAAGGUUUUACAGUGACCGGUGAUAUCGGACGUCCUUCGUCCGUUACAGAGUCAAAGUCAACUCGUUUGGAGCGGAGGCAACUUGGUUAUAGGAGGGAAAAAAUACCAUUUCAUUAAAGAGAGGUUCUCUUUUGGAUACAAGUUUUGAAAAGUUAAGGCAUUGUUUUCGUGAAAAUCAGACCCGGGUUAGUUUUGAUUGAGUAGUGCACAAGUUGAAGGCUAGAAGUCUUCCAGCUUCUAAGCACAGAUUCGACUUAGUUAAUUCCCUGCAUAGUUCAAGAUAGGCCCGUGGCGGGCUUUGGCAAAGAUGGCGUUGUAAGAAUUUGUGUCAAGGUGGAGAUUGUUAGAGUUAUGUGACCCAAAUUCUAAUAGAUUGCUUGCAAGUCAAGUUAAACAAAAUAUAUUUUCUUUCUAGAAGAUUUAGUAUUUAUUAGUAUAAUAUAUUUAGCAUUUAUUAGUAUAGUUUAUUUGACUUACUAAUUUAGCCUAUACAUAAGUUCUUUUACAACCUUAGAAAAUACACCCAUUAGAGAUUAGAACUCAUAACACAUUUAAAGAAUUUUGUGUUUAAGUUUUGAGGGUUCUUUAUUUUCGGGUUUUUCGGGGUUUAGUUUUUUAUCUUUAUCUUUUGUACUCUUCGUUCUUUUGCCAUUAUAGUAAAAUUAUCUUUGCCUGUGGUUUUUUUAUCCUCUUUGGAGGGGUUUUCACACGUUAAAUUUGUGUGUUCAAUUUCUCAAUUUAUUCCGCUAUUUUUUUACUUGUUGCUUAAUCAGGCUGAUCCUAAUAGCCCUCAACUCGAUCCGUUUGCACUUACCCUAUUCAUAAAAAAAUUCAAAAAAUACCUCUUAAUUAGUAACACUGCCCAACAAAUUUUUGUCUAUGCGUACAAAGUGUCAUUACAAUCAUUUGAACAAGACUUUACACUCGGCAAGUCCUUACAAGUACAUAUAACCCACUUAUUCUACCUAUAAAUAAUAUUAUUGGUGUCAUUUAUAUUACUAACACAUUCUAUACACGCCACAAGGCUUAUAAACAAUUUUUGUGACCUAUCCAUAAUAUUUCCAUCAAACUUGAACAAGCCGCUCCCCUUGCUCUGUAUGCAUAACAACCCAUCUCGCCAUACUUUUGGCAUAGCCCUGGCAUCGUCCCUCUUGGCGUAGCCUUUAAUCGGCUUACCUGUAACAAGAAGACAUAAAUGUAAGUUUGAUAAAACUUAGCGAGUAAACUCUUAUUUACCCGAAUCUCAUUUGAGAAUUCUCUUAUCCAACUCUUUGUCUCUUAUUCUUUGACUUAAUUCUGGUGGAUACACCCCUUAGAUUCUAUUCAUUUCAUUGUUGGUGUCACGUUUCGUUCUGAGAUCAUAACUUGCAUUACCUAUCAUUAUUACCUUAAUCGCAUUCUUCAUUUUGUUCUUUCGUGAUUUCUUAAAUAGUCCUAUUACAAAAGGCAUUACAGAUAGAAUACCUUUGGUUUGUCACUCACGCUGGCGCAUUCUCGUCUCGUUCUUCUUACCAUGUUACUAUACUGGGUUCGCCAUAACACUUCUUAUGGAGCCUUUCUUUCAGAGUUCUCCAUAUUUAUCGUUCUUUCAUAAGACCUCGUACAUCGUUUAUCGGAGUUUGCCAUAGUUUUCUUUUCUUUUCGUUCAGAGUUUGUAAUAGAGUCAUUCCUUUUUAGAGAUAGCCACAAGGGCUUCCUUAUCCAGAGAUUGCCACAAAUGUGUCCUUUUCAUUAAGUACUCGCCAUAAAAGCUUUCUUUUCAGAGCCUCGCCACAAAGGCGUCCCUAAAGAGGUUCGCCAUGGAGUCUUACCCUUUCGGAGUUUUGCCACAAAGGCAUCCUUUACAUUCAGUACUCACCACAAAGACUUUCCUGUCCAGAGUUAUGCCAUAAAGGUUUUUCCUUUCCUGGUGAUUUAGGCAAUAGGGAUUUUCUUAGACUCACACUUAAUGAGGUUUGCCCCUCAUCAUCUUGGGGCAUACAGAGAACCAUAUUAGUUAAUAACCUUCAUUAGUUUUCCCAUAUAAUGUCAUAACCCACCAAUUAUGGUCUUACACGAUAUGAUCUUCUUUUUAUAUGAUGCCAUAACCCACCAGUUACGGUUUUACAUGAUAUGAUCUUCUUUCCAUAUGAUGUCAUAACCCACCAGUUACGGUCUUGCAGGACAUGGUCUUCUUUAGUGCCAUGGCCAUAGACUUAUCCUUUCAGAGAUUCAUGUUUUUAGUUUUGACGGACCCCUUUGACGACUUCAAAGACAGACACAGACUCAUCAUGCAUCGACUUACUCAUGAAAAACAUUCUUAUGCUUAUGAGACACACAUACACUUCCUAUUAAACUCAUUCUUACUUUCAAACGUAAGCACACCAUAGUCAUACAAAUUCAUAAAUCUUACAUUUCUUAUCAGAUUCAUCUCAUCAUACUUUACCAAUUUCAAUAUCAUGCUUUGGUCACUUAGCAUAGAAGUUUUUAGAUAAGCAUAAUGCGCAUACAGGAUUCAAUCUAAGGACUCACUUAGUAAAGAUUUUUAGUAGCUUGGGCUCCAUGGCUAAGGUCUUCUUAGAACUACAGCAACCACUGCCUUGUAAAAACAGAAGAUUUUCCAUUAACACCCAUCCUAGAAAAUCCUCAAAUAGAGCCUUAUUUCUUCUUACACUCUUAUAGAUCUACUUUUGCAGAGUAAUAAGACUUACUUUGGCACAGAGAAAUCAUCGAUAAAAUCCAGGGUCUCAAAUCCAGCUUAAAGAAAUUUUGUCAUUUCCUCCAACCUUAGAUUUCGAUAUUUUGAAGAGAGAAGAAAAGAACUCCCUCUAUUCAAACUUGAAGACUUAUUAAUAUAAUCUAAGUCUUCAUUGGGACUUGACAAAUGUCGCAUCACUAUUGAAUUAUCUUAUCAAAGUCUACAACAACCGAGAAAUCUUAUUGGUUUCUUUUUCUCUUUUAACAAUCAACAUUGGACCUAUUCAAUGAUAAAGUUCCUAUCACUUAGCAUACCUUAUACACACCAAAUGACCAUAUAACAAACAUAUCAAACAACCAAUUUAUUUAUAUUUACAUGAGGGCAUACAAUAUUUACUAUCAUCUCAUAUAAAUACACAUCAUUUACAAGCCUUUAUCAAAAGGCAUAAACAUAAUUGAACUUGGCACAAUUUCAAAACAAACCAAUCACCAAGACAAUAAUUAAAAACUUUAUUACAUGCCAAAACACAUAUAUUAUUUAACCACUUUAGUGAAUCAAAGGUCAUUUAAAUCAUAAGGCAUACACAAGUGAUCAAAAUUCAUACUUACAUAUAUACAUUUGUAAACCAAUAUUAAGGCAUAUGGGAAGAUAAACUUAAACCACAUUGCAUUGGUAAAUAGCACAAAAUCAACUCUUAAUACGUGUCAUUUUUAACCAUUAGCCAAAAUAAUCAAACUAAUAAUAUGACAAAUGGAUAGUGUAAUGGUGCUCCGGUGAGACUCCAACCGAUCGAGCUUUCUAAUGAUCUACAAAAUAGAGAAAACACAUAUGUAAGCAACUAGUGCCUAAUAAGCUCGUAUUAGGAACUUAAACUUAUCGUGUAUAUUAAGUUAAACAAUUAAAGAUAAAUUUCAUUUUCUUAUAGGCCAAACAUCCUUUCCUAUAUACAAAAGUUCAUAAGGUUAGUUAGUGAAACAAUGUACUUAUAAGAUCAAAUAAGGUAUGGCAAUAAACAUAUGAACAUCUCAAUUUCACCAACUAACAUUUGUACUUAUACUAUGUAACUUCAUCUUCUUUAAAUUAUGCAUAUCCAAAUUCCCAUAUCAUGUAUUUAAUACCAGAGUUUAAUACAUACAUGUACUUUUCCAUUUGAAACUUAACUACCCAUUGAACUUAAUAGAGUAACAUCAGAUACUUGUAAUAAUAUUUUUAGUACAAGUUACCUAAUAUAAUACACUGGCACAAAGCCUGCUAGGCUUAAAACCUGAUACGAUACAUCGACACGAAGCUUGCUAGGCUCAAUGCCUGAUACAAUACACUGGCACGAAGCCUGCUAGGCAUAAAGCUUGAACAAUACACCGACACUAAGCCUACUAGGCACAAAGCCUGAAUCAAUACACUAGCAUUAAGCCUACUAGGCACAAAGCCUGAAUCAAUACACAAGCACUAAGCCUACUAAGCACAAAUCCUGAAUCAAUACACCAGCACUCCGGCGAGACUCCAAUCAAUCGAGCUUUCUAAUGAUCUACAAAAUAGAGAAAACACAUAUGUAAGCAACUAGUGCCUAAUAAGCUCGUAUUAGGAACUUAAACUUACCGUGUAUAUAAGUUAAAAAAUUAAAGAUAAAUUUCAUUUUCUUAUAGGCCAAACAUCCUUUCCUAUAUACAAAAGUUCAUAAGGUUAGUUAGUGAAACAAUGUACUUAUAAAAUCAAAUAAGGUAUGGCAAUAAACAUAUGAAAAUCUCAAUUUCACCAACUAACAUUUGUACUUAUACCAUGUAACUUCAUCUUCUUUAAAUUAUUCAUAUCCAAAUUCCUAUAUCAUGUAUUUAAUACCAGAGUUUAAUACAUACAUGUACUUUUCCAUUUGAAACUUAACUACCUAUUGAACUUAAUAGAAUAACAUCAGAUACUUGUAAUAAUAUUUUUAGUACAAGUUACCUGAUACAAUACACCGGCACAAAGCCUGCUAGGCUUAAAACCUGAUACGAUACAUCGACACGAAGCUUGCUAAGCUCAAGGCCUGAUACAAUACACUGGCACGAAGCUUGCUAGGCACAAAGCUUGAAUCAAUACACCGACACUAAGCCUACUAGGCACAAAGCCUGAAUCAAUACACAAGCACUAAGUCUGCUAGAGACAAAGCCUGAAUCAAUACACUAGCACUAAGCCUACUAGGCACAAAGCCUGAAUCAAUACACUAGCACUGAGCCUACUAAGUACAAAGCCUGAAUCAUUAUUUCCAAUUCAAUUCAAUCUCAUUAUUAAUUUUUCAUCAGUCAACAUUUAAAAUAACAAACACUACAAUUAUUUGAAUAAAUCAAUUAGCAAGCAAUUUAACUUAACAUAUUACAUAUAGUACAAACUUACCUGAACUCGUAAACGACUUCUAACUCGAACUGACCACUAUUCCGCUACUUAGACUUUUCUGUGAUUUAUGUCCAUUCAAGUUGUUUCUUGAUAUAGAUAAAUAUUUUUAUUCAAUUAAUCUUGUUUCAGCAUUUACAAUAAUUAAAUUUACACAAUUUAACAUUUCCAUAAAAUUUACAAAAUUUCCCUUAACAUUUUUUUACAAUUUAGUCCCUAUACUCGAAACUUACAAUUUAAGCACAAUUAAAGAAAACCUAUUCUAACUGAUUUUUUACUUAUUCCCUACUCAACCCACUUUUAUCAAAAUUUUAAAAUAUUUUCAUACAAUUUCACCAUUUUAACAAUUUAGUCCCUAAUUACAAAAUUAACAAAAUCUACUUAAUCAAAUAGUCCCUAUACAUUUCAUAGCUUCAAAAUAUAAAAAUUUCUACCACAACAUCUAAUAUUUAUUAAUGACAAGUUUUAAAAUCUUAAACAGCUUUGAAAAUAGAGAUACGAGUUAGCUGGACCUAGUUGCAACAAUCUCAUAAAAAUUACGAGAAACGAGUGAAAAAUGGCUUACAUGCAAGGGAUGAACCAAGGACAAAGCUUCCAAAGUCCUCCUAUGGCGGUUUAGUGAUAACAAGAAUGGAAGAAGGAGAUGGACGCAAUUUUUUAUGAUUUAUUAUUUUAAUAUACUUAUUCAUUUAGUUUUAUUAUUUAAACACUUAUUUUAGUAAUAUAAUGAAAUGUAUAAUCGGCCAUGAACAUAAAAAUGGCUUAUUUGCCUUAUAAAUCCAUCCACUUAUAAUAAUUAAACCAUUUUUAGUCAAUAAAAUUCAAUAACAAUUAAGUUUUACACCUUUUACGAUUUAGUCCUUUUUCUUUAAUUAACUAGUCAAACAAUAAAAUUUCCUAACCAAACUUUAUUAUGACCCUAAUAAAAAAAUAUUUACGGUCUCGAUUUAUAGAAAUGAUGCCCCAAUACCUCAUUUUCAAAAACCACUUGACUUUAAAGAUUUACCACUUGAACCUAAUUACUCAAUCAAAUAACAUAAUUUAUCAAAUCAAAAUAUAUUAUAAUACUAUAUUUGUCUUGUAAAUAUCAUUAAUAUUUAUGAACUCACUCAUUGAAUUCGUGGCCCCAAAACCAUUAUUUCCAACAGCACUGAAAAACGGGUUGUUACACUGUGACACCCCUAAUGUGACCCUAUGGGAUGAAAUGUAUUAUAAACAUUUUAUGUUAGUGUUUUAUGUUAGAAAUAAUAAAAUAAAGAACAUGGGUAAUAAAAUAAUAGUGGUUAGUAGGGGAGAAACAAAAAAAUUAGCUAGGUUGCUCCUCCAUUGCCGUGACUUGAGGGAGGAAGAAGAAAGUUUGGUUGCUUUAAUUUUUGGCUUAGAAGAUGGCUAGAAGGAGGAAAAACUAUGAUUUUAGCUAGUUAGGUAGCUGAAAUUUCAAGUAACUCGGUAAUCCAUCGAAGAAGAGGAAGAGGGCUGCAACAAAAAGAAAAAUGGAGACAGUUUGCAUGUUGAAGGAAACUAAGGAUUUAGCUUGUUUAAGAGUUGUAUCCUAAGUUGGUAAGUUUUCUAAGCUCCCCUCUAUCUUUAACUUUGUUGUAAAGAAAAAUGAUGAUGGAUUGUGGUUGGAAGGCAUGGAUGCGGGUGGUAGAAAAGAAAAGCUCUUUGAUUAGUUGUAAAAAUUACUACUGUCCAAUUUUGUGCCUUCGUUAUGCUGUCCAAAAUUUGAACAAAUUAAUGGUUCUAUUUUCAUGCCGAUUAGGGGUUGAUAAAUUGAGUCUAAUAGCUAAAAUAUUAUGUUAUUCUUACUAAGUUUCAGUUGUUAGUAGUGACGUAACAAUGUGACAAUUAAAUGCAUAAAUGAUUGCUGGAAACUCCAGCUUGAAAACAAAUUGUUCCAGCAUGUAAAUGCUGAUUUGAAUGUGUUGUAAUAUGUGGAAGAAUUGGUCUGCUGCAUGUUUGAAAUAAAAGAAAACAAUGGUUGUUAAAUAAUGCUUGCUGUCCAGAUUGAAAUUAUGCUAGAAGGUUGAACAAUUGUUGUUCAAAUGGAAUUUUGGAGUGUUUAAUGGACUCCAUGUUGCUAAAAUUUACAUGAAUAGAAAUUUCUAAGCUUAAAUUGUAAGAAUUUGAGUUGUGUGGUUUAAAUUGUCAAAGAUGCAUUUGGCAAUUGAUUAUAAUUUGUUAAAGGGUGUAAAGUAUUGAUAGUUCUAAAUGGUACAUAGUUAAAUGAAGAUGGAAGCUUGAUAAACUUUUAUUUAGAAUGUGAAUUAGAUAUAAAUUAAAUAAGCAUGAAAUCGAAUCAUGGCAUGUUUUAUUAAAUAUGAUACAUAUUGAAAUCUAUUGUUUUAGAUGUAGAUUAAAUGAUAUGUGAUUGCCAAAUGUGAUUGUUAAGUGAAUAAUAUUAGUUAAGUACUUAAGCAAAUCUAUUGUUUUACUUAAGCUUAAGAGCAAAGAGGAUCAAAGUUGGAUAGGGGAAAAGAGAAAGUAAACGAAUAGCCGUGAAUAUCUAGUCGUCGACCACUUCCGAGGUAAGUUUUAAGUGAUUAAACGUUGAGUAAAUUCAAUCAUAAUAGGACAUAAUGAGUUGAUUUAAUAAGAUAUGAUGUGGCCAUGAUAUGUCUUAAACUCAAAUGGUAAGUUCAUAAGUGUUUGGACUUGGAAAUUUAAGAGCAAAUUGCAAUAAUUUGCUUAGGACAGCAGCCGUAACGUGAUUUUAGAAAAUCACUAUAAAUUUUUGGUGUGGAAUUAUAGGCUGAAUAAAAUAUGUAAUCAAAGAUUAAUUAGUCUAGUUUCUUAUAAAAGAGACCGUGUAAGCAAAGAAAUUUCCUAUAAAGAGAUAUUUAAAGUUGUGUGAGACAGUGUCAGAAUGACUCCGAAAUCCCCUGUCCUGUAUUUAGAAAAUCACUAUAAUUUGUAAAAAAAUGGUUACAAGAUAAAAUUUAUAUUCUUAGACUCCUUAAUGAGUCUAGUUUCAAAUUAAAUCAAAUAGAACAUAUUUUGAAUUCUGUACAAUGAGAAAUUUGAUUCGUAGUGAAGACUGGUCAGAUUAGUCAAACAGUGAAAUAGGGGAAACUUUAAGAAAAAUCUGGUAUUGAUUGGCCAAACCAAAAAUUCUGAAAAUUUUCUGGAUAAGAUAUGUAUGAGUCUAUUUCCAGGUAAAAUUAACGGCACUCCAUUUGGAGUUUCGUAGCUCCAUUUACGAAUAAUUUAAUGACUGUUGCUCAGAAAAAACAGCUUGUGCUGAGUUUGGGAUUUUGUUGUAAACCUUAAUAAAACCAUUUGAGUUGCUUAUAAGCUAUCGAUUAAACAUUGGUAAUCAAAGCACCAAAUCCGUAUUAAAGUGAAGCUAUAAGCCACAAAUGACUAGUAUACCUAGUCAAUUUUGUUAUGAUGAAAUUGAUGUACAAGUAUAUAUAUGUGAUAGGGCCGAGUGGCCAAUGUGAUGAAUGUGAAAGUAUAUAUAUGCGUGAUAAGGCCGAAUGGCCAAUGUGAUGAAUGUGAACAUGUGUAUGUGUGAUAAGGCCGAAUGGCCAAUGUGAUGAAUGUGAACAUGCAUAUAUGAGAUAAGGCCGAAUGGCCAAUGUGAUGAAUGUGAAAGUGUAUAUAUGAGAUAAGGCCGAAUGGCCAAUGUGAUGAAUGUGAAAGUGUAUAUAUGUGAUAAGGCCGAAUGGCCAAUGUGAUGGAUGUGGAAGUGCAUAAAUGUGAUAAGUCCCGAAGGGCAAUUGUGUCAGUACUAUAUCCGGGUUAAAACCCCGCAGGCUUUAUGCGAGAAUAUUAUCCUGAUUAAUGUCCGUAGGCUUCGUGCUCGUACUAUAUCCGAGCUUUAAAGACCCGACGGCUAAAUGCUAGGAUUCAAGUAAGACUUUGAUAUUGAGUAUCUGCAUUAAGUUACCAUCAAAUAAGUAUUAUGUAUUCAAGAUGUUCAGGUACGUAUUACUUACUCAUCGGUGGAGUGAUUUCGAGGUGAAUUAUCAGUAUCAAAGAGGUAGGUAAAUGUGAUUAAUAUUAUAACUCCAAAUGUGAGAAUGAUCUAAUUGGUAAUGGUAUGUUUGUAUAAUAAAGUAUGCGAUGAAAUAUUCUUAUGUAUUAGUGCAUAUUCUGCCCAAAAGCCUUAUGAUCUGAGUAUGGGUUGGGUUGAGCUAGAUGUGCCAGUACAAGGUAAGGAUUAUGAUUUGUAAGCUUACAUAUAUGUGAUAAGGAAUAUGUUGGUUCUUUAUGUGCCUAUGGUAAUUUAGUACUUGUCAUGUUGAAAUACUUAAAAGUAUGGAUGUGAUUAUGAACAAGUGGAAAGGAUUAUUGAAAGUUGAAAAUCGAUGAAGAAUGUGCUUUGGAAAUAUUUGACCGUCUAGGUCAUUAUUAUUCGAAAGUAUAUAUGUGGCAGCCAAGUGUUGCGUUUAAUGAUAUUAUAGAUCGAGAUGAUGCUCUAGAUUAACUUCAUCGAACAGUUGAAAUGAAUGACCAAUGAUAGUGAUUGAGAACACUUUGUUUUGCUUAAAACUUACUAAGCAUUAAAUGCUUACUCCGUUCUUUGAAUCUCUGUUUUAUAGAUUUUGGUUCGUCAGCUAUUGGACUCGGGAUUAUUGAAGUCGAAGUCGCCCACACUAUCAAAACCCUUUUGGUACACUUUUGGUUGAACUCUGAAAAUGGCAUGUAUAGGACUACCCUUUUGUUGUUGGUCAUGUACCCUUCGGUUUUGUAUAAUUUUGGAUAGCCAUGCGAAAAUGGCUUAUAUAUGUUUGAGCAUAAUGUUAUAAUCAUUUGGUAUGGAUAUGGUUAUUGAGAGGUGUGGAUAUGCUUAACAAGGAU
rnacentral:lncRNA from 1 species